UGGGGAAUAUUGGACAAUGGGCGCAAGCCUGAUCCAGCAAUGCCGCGUGAGUGAUGAAGGCCUUAGGGUUGUAAAGCUCUUUCGCACGCGACGAUGAUGACGGUAGCGUGAGAAGAAGCCCCGGCUAACUUCGUGCCAGCAGCCGCGGUAAUACGAAGGGGGCUAGCGUUGUUCGGAAUUACUGGGCGUAAAGGGCGCGUAGGCGGCCUGUUUAGUCAGAAGUGAAAGCCCCGGGCUCAACCUGGGAAUAGCUUUUGAUACUGGCAGGCUUGAGUUCCGGAGAGGAUGGUGGAAUUCCCAGUGUAGAGGUGAAAUUCGUAGAUAUUGGGAAGAACACCGGUGGCGAAGGCGGCCAUCUGGACGGACACUGACGCUGAGGCGCGAAAGCGUGGGGAGCAAACAGGAUUAGAUACCCUGGUAGUCCACGCCGUAAACGNUGAACGCUAGCGUCGGGGUGCAUNCAGCUUCGGUGUCGCCGCUAACGCAUUAAGCAUUCCGCCUGGGG
rnacentral:rRNA from 1 species